UACUUACUUGAAACAUAGUUUCCUCAGGCCGACGAGCGAUACGGUUGAUACGACAAUACCUCCGACAACAUACAGUACUUUCUGUGAUGUGUCCAGAACGUCCAUGGAUUUCAACCUUCAUCAAAAGGCAAAUUAACUUGGAUUGAGUAUAAUGGACAGGCAGUAGCGGACUCUACACUGUGCAUCGAGUUCCUCAACCAGAACCUGGGAGUGGACCUCAACAGGAACCUGAGUCCUGCUGAGAGAGGAGUAGCUCUGGCGAUGCAGGUUAUGGCGGAGGAACAUCUGUACUGGUUCCUUGUCCUCUUCCGAUGGCAAUAUGACAACGACAAAUCUUUGAUGCUGAAUGCUUUUAAAAUAGGCAAGUUUAUGUUUUGGAUGUUUCAACGACAAGUAAAAAGGCAAAUAUGGAGUCAAGGCUUGGGCCGACACAUAGAAGAGGAGGGAACAGAAAUGUUUAAGAAGGAUCUACAAUCCCUGUCGGACUUCAUAGGUAUGCAGAAGUAUGAGUGAGUGAGUUUAGUUUUAGGGCGCACUAGGCAAUAUUC